UACGUAGGGUGCGAGCGUUAAUCGGAAUUACUGGGCGUAAAGCGCGUGUAGGCGGCUUGGUAAGUCUGCUCUGAAAGCCCGGGGCUCAACCCUGGGAGGCGGGUGGAUACUGCCGAGCUCGAGUCCGGAAGAGGCGAGUGGAAUUCCUGGUGUAGCGGUGAAAUGCGUAGAUAAUCGUAAGGAAGACCAGUGGCGAAGGCGGGUCUCUGGACAGUUCCUGACGCUGAGGCACGAAGGUCAGGGGAGCAAACGGG
rnacentral:rRNA from 1 species